ACGAACGCUGGCGGCGUGCUUAGCACAUGCAAGUCGAACGGAAAGGCCCUGCUUUUGUGGGGUGCUCGAGUGGCGAACGGGUGAGUAACACGUGAGUAACCUGCCCUUGACUUUGGGAUAACUUCAGGAAACUGGGGCUAAUACCGGAUAGGAGCUCCUGCUGCAUGGUGGGGGUUGGAAAGUUUCGGCGGUUGGGGAUGGACUCGCGGCUUAUCAGCUUGUUGGUGGGGUAGUGGCUUACCAAGGCUUUGACGGGUAGCCGGCCUGAGAGGGUGACCGGCGACAUUGGGACUGAGAGACGGCGCAGACUCCUACGGGAGGCAGAAGUGGGGAAUAUUGCACAAUGGGAGGAAGCCUGAUGCAGAAACGCCGCGUGCGGGAUGACGGCCUUCGGGUUGUAAACCGCUUUCGCCUGUGACGAAGCGUGAGUGACGGUAAUGGGUAAAGAAGCACCGGCUAACUACGUG
rnacentral:rRNA from 1 species